rnacentral:rRNA from 1 species
AUUGAACGCUGGCGGCAUGCCUUACACAUGCAAGUCGAACGGCAGCGGACCUUCGGGUGCCGGCGAGUGGCGAACGGGUGAGUAAUAUAUCGGAACGUACCUUUCAGUGGGGGAUAACGUAGCGAAAGUUACGCUAAUACCGCAUAUUCUGUGAGCAGGAAAGCAGGGGAUCGCAAGACCUUGCGCUGAUUGAGCGGCCGAUAUCAGAUUAGCUAGUUGGUGAGGUAAAGGCUCACCAAGGCGACGAUCUGUAGCGGGUCUGAGAGGAUGAUCCGCCACACUGGAACUGAGACACGGUCCAGACUCCUACGGGAGGCAGCAGUGGGGAAUUUUGGACAAUGGGCGCAAGCCUGAUCCAGCCAUGCCGCGUGAGUGAAGAAGGCCUGUGUAGUA